rnacentral:rRNA from 1 species
AACAAGGUCUCCGUUGGUGAACCAGCGGAGGGAUCAUUAUCGAGUUAUUCAACUCCCAAACCCUAUGUGAACUUACCACUUGUUGCUUCGGCGCGCGCUUCGGCGCCGCCGAGGACACUUAAACUCUUUGUUUUUAUAAGCAUUUCUGAGUGGCCGAAAGGCAAAAAUACAAAUGAAUCAAAACUUUCAACAACGGAUCUCUUGGUUCUGGCAUCGAUGAAGAACGCAGCGAAAUGCGAUAAGUAAUGUGAAUUGCAGAGUUCAGUGAAUCAUCGAAUCUUUGAACGCACAUUGCGCCCGCCAGCAUUCUGGCGGGCAUGCCUGUUCGAGCGUCAUUUCAACCCUCGAGCCCGACUCUUUUGAGGACAGCUCGGCGUUGGGGGACGGCAGACUCCCCCCGGCAUCUCGCCGGGGACGCCGCCCCCGAAAUCUAGUGGCGGCCCUCCGAGGCGACCUCUGCGUAGUAACUUGUUCUCGCACCGGAAAGCUCAGAGCGGCCACGCCGUAAAACCCCAACUUUUUUCAGGUUGACCUCGAAUCAGGUAGGACUACCCGCUGAACUUAAGCAUAUCAAUA